rnacentral:lncRNA from 10 species
ACUCGCGUGAGUGCGCGUGCGUUGGGGCCUCAGCCUUUAUCUCCACUCUGCGGAGAUUCACGCCUGGAAAACGCUCUUCUGAGAGGAUCUGUGGAGGUCAACCCAGGAGAGAGAAGACAGGACUGAAGCACUGAAAGGGUCCUGCCGUUAAGGGCGCAGGAUUGUAUAGAAUAUAUAAUAGCAGUAGCAGCUCUGUUUACGGAGCAUUAACCUUACGUGGAGUUAUUUCCUGCAUUUCCUCCUUUCGUCUUUACAAGGUAGCCGUUUGGCGUCGUGAGGUAUGGAUGUUCCCAUCCCUAAUUUGCAAAAUAGGUAACUGAGGCUCAGGAGAGCUAGACUAGUUUGUGCACAGCCGAGAAGUGGUCAAGCUAGAAUGGGACCCCAGGUUUGUGCUCCCUACUCUCCACCGAUAACCUAUCAAAGGGCUUUGCAAGAGCUUUUGACUAAUCGUCUGUCAAUGGUUCUUCAUUCACGUAUUAAUUGCACAUCAGUAUGUGCCAAAUCUACUAGACAUUGGAGAAACAGUAGGAACAACACAUGGUACCGGCACAUGGAUCUUUCAGGAAAACGAAGUAGGUAAUAAACAGGAAAAAGCCCGAGUCUGAUGCUAAGAAGAACAUAAACAGGAUGCUGAGCGGAAAGUGACCAGAAGAGGUGUGCAGUUUCCAGGCCUGGCCCAUACAGACCUCCAACAGGUGCUCCCCUGUGCUGUUACUCCUUCUGCCAACUGGAAGCAGAUGGUGACCAGGCUCUGGAGAAGGCAAGGCCUGAAGAUGGGAGAUUCCUAAGUGGAGGAGAACUGUGCCUUACUGACCUAAAUAUCCACUCAGUAUUGUUAUGUGAGAAUAAAUAAACUUGUGUUGACCGUUUACUUACUUUGAGUCUUUUGUUCUAGCAGCUUUGCCUAUGCUACCUAAUAUGAAUAAGAGCAAUGAU